AGAUUGGCAUAGUUGAGAGAGCUUAUAGUUUGCCAUGAAACCUUAAAAAAGCAGCCAUGGAACAAGCUCUCUCUUCCUCAACCAUAAUCUCUACAACACAAAUAUUUCCACUCAAACCUCUCAAAACCCAUCUCCAAACUCCAACCAUAAACCUCAAAUUCUCCAUUUCUCCAAAGAAAAACAACCACCUUCAUCUUUCUUCUUUUUCUUCUUCUUCUCUAUGUUUCUCUAAUAAAGCAUGAUUGUGAUAUGUAUUUUGCAGCUUGAAGACAAAUGCUUCCAUAUGGUGUAGGUGUACCAGGUGUAUUAUCUGUUCAGCUAGAUAAGAAUUUUGAGUCAGAGAAUAAGGAUUAUGGAGGUAAUAAUCUACAGAGUUCCACAGAUCUGCCAGAUCCUUCAGAAGCAAGUCAAACAACCCCUAUAAAAACAAAGAAACUAUUCGUUACAGGGCUGUCAUUUUACACAUCUGAGAAAACCUUACGUGCUGCAUUUGAAGGCUUUGGUGAGCUUGUUGAAGGGAUGUUUGCAUUUCCAUGCUCAUAAAUGACAUGUUUCAUUAGCAAGGGUAUACCGUUGCUGAUGCACUGCUUCCUCAACAGUUAAAAUUAUAAUGGACAAAAUUUCCGAAAGGUCCAAAGGUUAUGCAUUUAUAGAGUACACAACAGAGGAGGCUGCUAGUGCAGCACUCAAAGAGAUGAAUGGCAAGAUUAUUAAUGGCUGGAUGAUAGUUGUUGAUGUUGCCAAGACUAAUCCACCAAGAUACAGCAGGGGUCGCCCCAGAUAGGAAUUUUGACAAGAGAACGAUUACUGAUCCACUGUCUUCAAGAUCAAGCAAGAUAUUCAGGCUACUGCUCUCAAGGCGUUGGACUAUUCUCAUACUGCCACCUAAAUUUUGUUCGAUGAGUACCUGCAAGAGGCAAGAGCCUCUAUCAGCUCCAGAUCUUCAAGUAAAGUAGUAGUCGUUCACAUUGAGUUUUUUAGUCAUUAAUAUAUUAUGGAGACUCUCUCAUAUAUAUAAAUAUAUAUAUAGGCAGAAACUUGUAGUCUGAAAUUCUAUUAUGUUGCAUGCUUUUAGAAGGGGGAAA